rnacentral:rRNA from 1 species
UGCCAGCCGCCGCGGUAAGACAGAGGGUGCGAACGUUGCUCGGAAUCACUGGGCGUAAAGCGCGUGUAGGCGGACCAGCAAGUCAGGUGUGAGAUCCCUGGGCUCAACCUAGGAACUGCAUCUGAAACUGCUGGUCUUGAGUGUCGGAGAGGGAAGCGGAAUUCCAGGUGUAGAGGUGAAAUUCGUAGAUAUCAGGAGGAACACCGAUGGCGAAGGCAUCUCUCUGGGUCGAUAUUGACGCUGAGGCGCGAAAGCUAGGGGAGCGAACGGGAUUAGAUA